UACGUAGGGGGCAAGCGUUAUCCGGGUUUACUGGGUGUAAAGGGUGCGUAGGCGGCUAGGUAAGUCAGAUGUGAAAGCCCGAAGCUCAACUUCGGGACUGCAUUUGAAACUUCCUAGCUAGAGUGCAGGAGAGGAAAGUGGUAUUCCUAGUGUAGCGGUGAAAUGCGUAGAUAGUAGGAGGAACACCAGUGGCGAAGGCGGCUUUCUGGACUGUAACUGACGCUGAGGCACGAAAGCGUGGUGAUCGAACAGG
rnacentral:rRNA from 1 species